rnacentral:rRNA from 1 species
UACGUAGGGUGCGAGCGUUGUCCGGAAUUAUUGGGCGUAAAGGGCUCGUAGGCGGUUUGUCGCGUCGGGAGUGAAAUCCACUGGCUUAACUGGUGGCUUGCUUUCGAUACGGGCAGACUGGAGGUAUGCAGGGGAGAACGGAAUUCCUGGUGUAGCGGUGAAAUGCGCAGAUAUCGGGAAGAACACCCGUGGCGAAGGCGGCUCUCUGGGACGGUACUGACGCUGAUGCGCGAAAGCCAGGGGAGCAAACGGG